rnacentral:lncRNA from 1 species
AGGGGAAGAAGGACAGUGGGGAGAUCAAACUGUCACUUUUACAGUGCUAGGGCCCAGGUUAAUUACUGACCCCCCUCUCUGAGCCCUAGGGCUCUGCCCUAACCUGGAUCCCCUGAGGAUCCCAAGAGAGUUCUUUGUGGAGAGGAUGAGGCCAGGUAUCUGGCCCUUUCAGAAGAAGAGGGGGCACUCGCUAUGCUUGAACUAUGGCUUAAGAAGCCCUCAAGCACCCCAUCACUCCCUUUUUCCCCAUCAACAACAUGGGAUCACCACACCCUAGACUUCACUGGGCUGCCUCAGGGCAAGAAGCAACCAACUAAUUUUAUGGAGAAUCUUGGGAGAGGGCAUGGCCAGGAGCCCUUGGUGAGUCCGCAUGGCUGCCAGGAAAGGAUUUUUUUUUUUUUUAAUUGUUCUGCCAGAUGGCGGACGUGCUAUCAAACUGGAACAAUUUCAUGUUAAUAUCUUGACUUGGAGUUUCUGACCACUCAGAUUGUAUAAAUUAAACCUCAAAGCUGUGUAUGGGCAGAAUCUGAAUUCUUUUCUACCCAGAGGCCAGGGGAAACAGACAACUUUGCUUGACAUUUCCCUUUGCCUGAGCAUCUUUUUUCUGGCAGCAUAGCCUUUUGAGGGCCCUAGCCAUUAUGCAGAGCCUUGAUUCUGCCUCCCCACCUUGCAUAGGCCAAGGCCUUGCCUAUUGUACUAGCAUGUCAGAAACCCAAACCUCUUGAUCGCCAAGAUCACCAAAUACCCUCAAACAGGAUUGGGGACUAGUAUAAGCAUCAUCUCACCACUUCUGGUGUAUGAGAGUUUCUUCUGUUUCCUUUGAGCUCAAUAUUUUAAAGACUAUGUAUUAUAUUUAAUUCAUCAUUUCUAGGUGUUUUGUAUUGAGAGGUUUUUCAGGGUAUCUAGUUUGUUAUGAUGACAAAACUAACAGUCCACAAGCUAUUACUUUCCUCCCACCAAAAUCAUCAAUGAGUAAUAGCCACUUUUCAGUCAUUCUCCAAGUCGGAGCCAAUUUCUUCAUAGUUAGGACAGGUAUACUAUCCAAUUAAUAGACAAACAUACCCUGCAGAGAAAUCUUCCUCAUAUCUGAAACGUUCCUGCCAAAUCCUUUCACUUUAUCAGGUUCUAAGAGUUCCUGGAUUACUCAAAAAGUUUAUCAAUGUGAGCUUCCUGUGAGACAUUCUAGGAAGUUUAAUUGGGAACAGAAAAAUAUGGAGCCAUUUGAAAUGAUCCAAGUGGGACUCAGGGCUGGGUCAAGGAAGAGGAGUCAGCAAAGAAGCUGGAGAACGAAGAGAGAGUGUGGAGAAAAAGCAGUGUCCAAAGCCACAAGCGGAGUGAGCUGGGGAAGCCAGCCCUGAAUGGCAGAACUACAAAGUGAGCCCAACAGAGUCCCAUGGAAGGGAUUCAUAAAUAUAAAAGAUGAAGCAACUUUCCCUAUACCACUUGGCACGUGAAGAAAAAUGAAGCUUAGAGUUUCCCAGGUCUUAGUCCAAGGGCCCAGCAGCAAACCUUUCAAGCACACAAAUAAACAAAACCAACAAAAUAAACCAGAGUUGACCAAAAAAAAACAUGCAAAUUAAAUUAUAUAUUUUUUCCAUUUUCAUGAGAAAACUUGCUUCUGACAAAAAUACUAGAUUCCUUUCUUAUGUUUUAUAUUGUUGUGUUCUUGUUCCUUUUUAAGUCUCAUAAAAAAAUUUCCCCAUAAUAUUCAUGUUCCUCGAAUCCUGCCAAAGCCAUGGACAUUCCUAAAGAUUAGAUUUAUUUAGAAUACUGAGUCAACAAUUUCUAUGCAUUUUAUUUCACUAAGUUUUUGGGAGUCACUAAAUGUUUAAUCAUGUA